CGGAAACGACUUAUCUGAACCUUCGGGGAACGAUAACGGCGUCGAGCGGCGGACGGGUGAGUAAUGCCUAGGAAAUUGCCUUGAUGUGGGGGAUAACCAUUGGAAACGAUGGCUAAUACCGCAUAAUGCCUACGGGCCAAAGAGGGGGACCUUCGGGCCUCUCGCGUCAAGAUAUGCCUAGGUGGGAUUAGCUAGUUGGUGAGGUAAUGGCUCACCAAGGCGACGAUCCCUAGCUGGUCUGAGAGGAUGAUCAGCCACACUGGAACUGAGACACGGUCCAGACUCCUACGGGAGGCAGCAGUGGGGAAUAUUGCACAAUGGGCGAAAGCCUGAUGCAGCCAUGCCGCGUGUAUGAAGAAGGCCUUCGGGUUGUAAAGUACUUUCAGUUGUGAGGAAGGGGGUGUCGUUAAUAGCGCCAUCUCUUGACGUUAGCAACAGAAGAAGCACCGGCUAACUCCGUGCCAGCAGCCGCGGUAAUACGGAGGGUGCGAGCGUUAAUCGGAAUUACUGGGCGUAAAGCGCAUGCAGGUGGCUCAUUAAGUCAGAUGUGAAAGCCCGGGGCUCAACCUCGGCACUGGAUUUUGAACUGGUGGAAUAAAAAUAAUGGAAAAG
rnacentral:rRNA from 1 species